AUCGUCCCAGAAUACACCUCUGGCUCACGUGUUUGUCCCUUUGGAGUCUGUUAAGCCAAUCAAUGAGAGUGAAACUGCAGCCAGCAUCCAGCUCCAAGCUUCCUGCUUUCAGUCCUCUGAUGCCUCCAGCUGUGAUCUCCCAGAUGCUGCUGCUGGACAAUCCACACAAAGAGCCCAUCCGGUUACGGUAUAAGCUGACCUUCAACCAAGGCGGACAGCCUUUCAGUGAAGUAGGAGAAGUGAAAGACUUUCCAGAUCUGGCUGUCUUGGGUGCUGCCUAAGUUCUCACAGGACAGACCCUGUCAUGCAAGCUUAGGCCUGCAUUCCUGUUGCUGUCUAGAUAGGACUAAUCACAGCGAUUAGUGCCAAGUGCCAAGUGUUCUAUCCUGACGUCAGGUUCUGGAUGCCGACCUCUGACUUAUUCUGCAGAUAAUUGUGUGUGUGUGUGUGUGUGUGUGUGUGUGUGUGUGUGUGUGUGUGUGUGUGUUGCAGGGGAGUUGAGGACGGGAGGGGACGCAGGGCUUGGGACACAGGCAGGGUGGGAAAUGCUAAGCAUUUCUGAUCCCCAUCCGCCACGAUCCUAGCCUGGUUUUGUGUGUUGGUGAACACCGAAGUCCCUCCCGGCCUCGGGACUGGAGGUUUUUGAAGCCAAAGGUGUUGUCGUUUUCCAUGUAUUAUUAUCUUUUCAUUCAUCCACUCUGUGCCUUGUCAGCCUUUGAAAGUCUUGGUUGCGCCCAGGCUGCUGUUCUCAGGGACCUUACAAGGGACCUGGUUGGUCUUGGGGCAGAGAGUGUCUUCUAGGAUACUCUUCCAAGAGAGACCUUGUCUCCAUUUCCAUGAGAGAAUGCUGCUUGCACGUGUUCGGGAGGCUCUUCUAAACGGGAUGCGCGUGCCACCGUUUCCUAGGCGAGGGGCUGCCGUUAGACCAGAGGACCACGCCUGGUGGGCCAAUCAUGUGCUUCACCGCUGUGCCUUAGACUCCCCCAGGGCAGGUGGACCCUCAGGGCAGAGGGGCAAGCAGAUCCCAGAUCCCAGCAAUCCCAUGGGUUGGGCAGCCUGUCUGGAGCCUUCCUCGGGACCCUCAUCUCCAUCCGCAUCUCCACGAGCACUGACCCAGAGCUCUUUGAUUGUGACACCACGCUGGUCAUUAUAAACCUUGAUGGGCUGGCCCUGGCCUGUGACUUCACAAUCCACGAUGAAGAACUGUGAUGCCAAUAAGAUCUAAAGAGAGUUUAGCAAUGAUGUAAGUGGUGACUAAAUACAGAAUGUCUUUGAAUAAAUACCUG
rnacentral:lncRNA from 1 species